GGUAACCUGAUAACUGAAGGUUCAUCUGCCGGAUACCUUCUACUUGAGAGCAGGGAGGAAGUCAUCGGAAGAGCUCAUAAAGACUGCUGUGGAAACGAUUCAACUAUAUAUAAACAUUCAUGCCAAUCAUUCUAUGAAAUCAAUUCACCAGAUAAUUGUAGUACAUAUCAUCCACCGUCAGCAGUUACAUCUUCGGGUGAUCCUAGGAUUGAAACAAUAGAUGGAAAUAGCUAUGAUUUCAAUGGACACGGAGAAUACGUAUUUCUCACUGAUAACACUAAUUUUGAGAUACAAGCUAGGACGGGGUACGUUGUAAAAGGAAGCAAUGAUUCAACGAUGUUUACAGCUUUCGCGUUAUCUG